rnacentral:lncRNA from 1 species
UAUAUUAUAUAAAAAUAUAAAUUUAUAUAUUUAAAAAGAAAUUAUAUAUAGUUAAUUUUAAAAUAAAAUAUUUUUUAUAUUUAUAAAAGUUAUCAUAUUAUUAUAGUUAGUAACAAGGUUGACAAAUUACGGGAGACGAAAAACAUAUUCAUUUGAAUAACCAACAUUUGGUUAGAAAAUGGAUUUGUUUUGAAUUGAACAACCUUAAAGUGCUACAUAUAUCUGACAAGUUUAUUUUUUGUUGUAGCAACUAUUUAUGGUUGUUUGUCUUCAAAGCUUUGUCUCGAAUCACUUUAAUUUUUUUUUUCAACCCUUAUAGAAAAGAUAAAAUUCUUGCAAAAAAGUAUAUCAUGCCUCCAAAUGAUAAGGCCCAAAAUAUAUAUCUUAAUUUAUAGUUCUGAGAAUGAGAUUCAAAUUGUAAUAUGUGGUGGAUAUAUAUUAUCCUAAAGGUGAAAAGUGAAUGGUUGAAUAUGUUUAUUUUCAAUUAUUUAUUUACUUGGAUAUAGAAAGCCUUAGAUGGGUUUUUGUCUAUAUCUUUUGCCAUGACAACAAAUUUAUUGAGAGAUUGUAUGUUGUUAUAUGGUAUAUUAUUUUUUUGUAUCAACCUUUUCCAUAUAUAAAAGGAAAAAGGAAAAUGAAUGUAAAAUAUAUUACUUUUGUAUAAUGUGUUUGAAUUUUUUUUGAAUAAUGUGAAUAUUAAUGUCAAUGUUAUUUUUUUAGGUGAAAUUUUAUUACUAGGUAUGUAAUGAGAGUACUCUUGAACGUAAAAUAUGAAAGAAAAAUAUAGUUUACUAAGAAAAACACCCUUAAGUUAAACAACAAGUGAAAAUUAAAAAAGGACAAUGUAGAAAAAUAAUAAAAAAACAAUAAAAAUAAAUAAAUUAUUCUUAAUUAGAUAUAUAGUAAGCUACACAUUUAAAUUACCCUUAAUUUAAUAUCUUAAGUAAAUUUUUCAUUCCUAAAAAAUAUCAUCUUUUAUUGAAACAUUAUUAAGUCAUUUAUAAUUAUAUGACAUUUUGUAGUAGAACUUCUUUACACGUGAUAAAAAAAACUAAAACUAAUUUUUUUGAUGAAUGGAUAUACAUUUAAAAAACAUCUAAGUUAGACUAAGGUUCUUUUAUAAUUUAAAGAUAUUUAGCAUAUGCUUGUAUGAUAGUGUUAAAAAUGUUUUCUUUUGUAAUAUUACUUGACUUUGGAUAAGGCUUUUUGAUAUCUUAGUAUUUUGUUUAAUUUGUCACUUUUAUGUUUAUGAUUUAAUUAUUCAUAUUUUUUAAACUUUUCACUUUUAAGCAUACUAAGAUAUUUUGAAGUUUAUAUUAUACUUAAUUUAUAAUAUUACGUGAUUAUAUAACACUUAUUAUGUUAAAAUCUAUAUAUUUAUUCAAUUCAACAAUAAUAUAUUCAAUGGACAUAUUAAGUGCUCCAAAUAUACAUUACAUAUGUAUUUAAUGAUUUUUUCUAACUUCCACACUCAACUCAAUACAUAAACGAUUAUUCAACGCUUAAUGUAUAAAAAUGUGUUUAUACCAUUUUUUAAACCCUAUUCCAACUAAGCAUAUUUUGAUCUUUGAGACUUAUCUUAGGUAAUAUAUAAAUUUAUCCAAUUAAAUAAUUAUUUAACGCUCAAUAUAUUUAAAUAUAUAUAUAUAUAUAUAUAUUAAUUUCACUAUUAAAAUGUUAGGUUACUGUAUAAAUUUUCAAAAUGUACAUUAAAUAUUUAUUAAAUUUCUUGUGACUUAAAUAGACAGCUCAGUGUAUUUAUCUAAUAAACGUUUAGAACGUAUCCAUUAUCAGGAUAAUAGAAUAAUUUAUCUUUUUAAACACUUCAUAUUUAUUGAAUUCUUGUAAGAUGCACCAAAUAACUCAAUGAAUGUAUGACUACAAGGUGUCAUAGUGUAUAUGAACUCUCUCAUCAGUUUCUCAUCACCUGGUACAUAAGAUCAUUAGUGAAGCUGAGGAUAAAUUAAAACAUAAGCUCUUCAUACUUAAUAUACCAUCAAACACCUAGAUGUAUGACAUCAAUUUUCAUCAUUUACAUACAAUUCAUAUCAUUCAAUCACAUAACAUUUAAGAACCUUUCCAAUGUAAAAAAAAACACUUAACCAUUAAACUAUCAAAAUCUAAUAUUUUUACAUGUUGACACAACAUAUAAUCAAACAAUUUCAUCUAAUAACAUCUCUACAAGAGAAAUUGAAACUUGGAACCACAACCCCUCCAAAUUCAAAUCUUCUAGCCUAUAGGGUACUAUUGAAAGUUAAAGUUAACUUCUCUUAUAUAAAUUUCCUUAUUCCAAUGGAAACUACAACUUAGGGAAAUCACUCCAAAAUUUGGAGAUCUAAAAUAAGUUAUCCAAAUGUCACCAAAUUUCAAUAUAUGAUAAAAUAAACUAAGACUAGCACCCAACUAGUCCCAUUAAGAUUGACUACCAAGAUAUAUUAUUAUAAUUCUAAGAUAUAAUAAUCUUAUUUUUACCUUCUUAUUUAAAUUAAGUUAAUUAUUUUAAAAGAAAGAUAAUUAUAAGGAUAUUUAUAAAAUCAUAUCAACCCUAACAAUUUUUUAAAAGUUCAAAAUUGAAUUUUAAUAAUAAUUUUGUUUAACCAGGUACUAGAUGUUUGAAGACAAAUUGAGAAGUUUUAUAUGCAAGAUGCAUGAUUUGAGGCCAAAAGUGAAAAUGAAGCCAAUUUUCAACCAUGAAGUAUCAAGAGUAUGAGAGAUGCAACAACAAAACUCAAUAAUCCACAAAGAUGCAACAAUAAAACUCACAUGCCUUAGUUAAGGUGGUGUGAGUAAUAUAAAAAAGUUCUAUAAUAUACCUUAAAGUACAAUAGUGUUAAACAUGAAAUAGAAGAUAAUCAUGUAAUUAUUUUCUAUAUAAUUGUUUAACCUUAUUUUUACUUUAAGGUUUUUUUAUAAAAAUAUUAUAUAAAAAUAUAAAUUUAUAUAUUUAAAAAGAAAUUAUAAAUAAUUAUUUUAAAAUAAAAAUAUUUUUUAUAUUUAUAAAAAUUAUCAUAUUAUUAUAGUUAUAGCAACAAGGUUGACAAAUUACGGGAGACGAAAAACAUAUUCAUUUGAAUAACCAACAUUUGGUUAGAAAAUGGAUUUGUUUUGAAUUGAACAACCUUAAAGUGCUACAUAUAUUUGACAAGUUUAUUUUUUGUUGUAGCAACUGUUUAUGGUUGUUUGUCUUGAAACCUUUGUCUCGAAUCACUUUAAUUUUUUUUUUCAACCCUUAUAGAAAAGAUAAAAUUCUUGCAAAAAAGUAUAUCAUGC